GCCUGGGGGGCUCAGUCGGUUGAGCAUCUGACUUGGGCUCAGGUCACGAUCUCGCAGUUUGUGGGUUUGAGCCCCGCGUCGGGCU
rnacentral:tRNA from 1 species